GACGAACCGAGCGAACGUUGUUCGGAAUCACUGGGCUUAAAGGGCGCGUAGGCGGGUGCUCAAGUCCGGGGUGAAAUCCCACAGCUCAACUGUGGAACUGCCUCGGAUACUGGGUGUCUCGAGGGUGGUAGGGGUAUGCGGAACUAUCGGUGGAGCGGUGAAAUGCGUUUGAUAUCGAUAGGAACUCCGGUGGCGAAGGCGGCAUACUGGGCCACUUCUGACGCUGGAUGCGCGAAAGCCAGGGGAGCGAACGGG
rnacentral:rRNA from 1 species